UACAGAGGAGCCAAGCGUUGUCCGGAUUGACUGGGCGUAAAGCGCACGCAGGCGGACGCGCGCGUGGGGUGUGAAAUCUGGCCGCUUAACGGCCAGGCGCCAUCCCAUACGGCGCGUCUGGAGUGAUGCAGAGGUCGAUGGAAUUGCCGGUGUAGUGGUGAAAUGCGUAGAGAUCGGCAGGAACACCCAGGGGGAAACCAGUGGACUGGCACGGUGCUGACACUCAUGUGCGAAAGCGUGGGGAGCGAAUGGG
rnacentral:rRNA from 1 species